ACGCUGGCGGCACGCCUAACACAUGCAAGUCGAACGAAGUAGCAAUACUUAGUGGCAGACGGGUGAGUAACAUGUAGGUAUCUGCCCUUUGGCCUGGAAUAACACGAGGAAACUUGUGCUAAUACCGGAUAAGUCUUUACGGAGAAAGCUUUAUGCACCAUUGGAUGAGCCUGCACUUGAUUAGUUUGUUGGUGGGGUAAUGGCCUACCAAGACUGUGAUCAAUAGCUGAUUUGAGAGGAUGAUCAGCCACAUUGGGACUGAGACACGGCCCAAACUCCUACGGGAGGCAGCAGUGGGGAAUCUUGCACAAUGGAGGAAACUCUGAUGCAGCGAUGCCGCGUGAGUGAAGAAGGCCCUUGGGUUGUAAAGCUCUUUCGUCGGGGAAGAAAAUGACUGUACCCGAAUAAGAAGGUCCGGCUAACUUCGUGCCAGCAGCCGCGGUAAUACGAAGGGACCUAGCGUAGUUCGGAAUUACUGGGCUUAAAGAGUUCGUAGGUGGUUGAAAAAGUUAGUGGUGAAAUCCCAGAGCUUAACUCUGGAACUGCCAUUAAAACUUUUUAGCUAGAGUAUGAUAGAGGAAAGCAGAAUUUCUAGUGUAGAGGUGAAAUUCGUAGAUAUUAGAAAGAAUACCAAUUGCGAAGGCAGCUUUCUGGAUCAUUACUGACACUGAGGAACGAAAGCAUGGGUAGCGAAGAGGAUUAGAUACCCUCGUAGUCCAUGCCGUAAACGAUGUGUGUUAGACGUUGGAAAUUUAUUUUCAGUGUCGCAGGGAAACCGAUAAACACACCGCCUGGGGAGUACGACCGCAAGGUUAAAACUCAAAUGAAUUGACGGGGACCCGCACAAGUAGUGGAGCAUGUGGUUUAAUUCGAAGAUACGCGCAGAACCUUACCAACACUUGACAUGUUCGUCGCGACUCUAAGAGAUUAGAGUUUUCGGUUCGGCCGGACGAAACACAGGUGCUGCAUGGCUGUCGUCAGCUCGUGUCGUGAGAUGUUGGGUUAACUCCCGCAACGAGCGCAACCCUCACUUUUAGUUGCCAUCAUUAAGUUGGGCACUCUGAAAGAACUGCCAGUGAUAAGCUGGAGGAAGGUGGGGAUGACGUCAAGUCCUCAUGGCCCUUACGUGUUGGGCUACACACGUGCUACAAUGGUAUCUACAACAGGAAGCAAGACUGCGAAGUUAAGCAAAUCCCUAAAAGAUACCUCAGUUCGGAUUGCACUCUGCAACUCGAGUGCAUGAAGCUGGAAUUACUAGUAAUCGUGGAUCAGCGUGCCACGGUGAAUGCGUUCCCGGGUCUUGUACUCACCGC
rnacentral:rRNA from 1 species